AAGUCGUAACAAGGUUUCCGUAGGUGAACCUGCGGAAGGAUCAUUAACAAAUCUAAAACUUGCCCUGUGCUUCGGCGCAGGACAUAAUAACCUGUGAAUCGCAGCGCGCAAGCGCUGUUUGUUGCUUCGGCAGCAUAACCAUAUAAACGUCUAAACAAUGUCUAAGUAAAACAACUAAAUACAACUUUUAGCAAUGGAUCUCUUGGCUUCUGUAACGAUGAAGAAC
rnacentral:misc_RNA from 1 species